CAUAUGACUACUGGCAGGAUCAACCAGGUAGCAUUCCUCUUUCGACAUCAGCAAUGUAUGAGCUCAAUCCACAAGGGAUCAAUCAAAACACGCACGAUUGUCGUUCGCAAAAAGCGUGGGACGCUAUAUUUGGGGACAAACAAGGACGAAAUAUCCUUGAACCCGCUCAAUGUUCUGAAUCCGAGAGGCCACGCACAACAUUAUGGGCCAACAACCCGAGCACAUUUAAGUGCACGAGAAGUGAAACACAAUGCGCACUACAAAGUCCAUCCAACACAACAACCCAAGCAAGGGAUGAAACACUAGAUGGAUGAUCAAAAAUACAAUAAUCAAAUGCCCUCAACAUAGGAACGCAACAAAAGGAACCAACUACGGGCAAAACUUGCUCAGUCCAACAACUGAAGACGGAUGCAAAACAUAUUGUCGCUGCUCGAGCAGGGAUCCAACAUGCCAAUACAAUCCAAACACCACUCA
rnacentral:misc_RNA from 1 species